rnacentral:rRNA from 1 species
UUUCCGUAGGUGAACCUGCGGAAGGAUCAUUGUCGAAACCCUGCCAUGCAGAACGACCCGUGAACUAAUACUCACCCGGGGAGAGGCGAAGGCCCCUUCGUGGGCCCCACCCUUUCCCCCCCAGCCCUGGGCGUUCCCCUAGCCGCACUGGACUCGUUCGGGAGUCGGUCUAGGGUGCUCCACGGCGACAAUAACGAACCCCGGCGCGGAAUGCGCCAAGGAAAUCAUAACGAACUUAGCACAUCACCUGCCGUCUCGUGCGGCAGCGAUGUUGCAAACUUCGAUACCUAAACGACUCUCGGCAACGGAUAUCUCGGCUCUCGCAUCGAUGAAGAACGUAGCGAAAUGCGAUACUUGGUGUGAAUUGCAGAAUCCCGUGAACCAUCGAGUUUUUGAACGCAAGUUGCGCCCGAAGCCACUCGGCCGAGGGCACGUCUGCCUGGGCGUCACGUAUCGCGUUGCUCCCAAAGCCCUCCCCCACAAGGGAGGGGUGCUGCGGAAGCAAAGAUUGGCCUCCCGUGCCCCCGCACGGUUGGCCUAAAUGCAAGCCUCGAGGUGACGAAAGGGUCACGACAAGCGGUGGUUGAUAAUACCUCGGCCCUUGUUGCGUCGUGUCCGUGCGUACCUCUUUGAGCUAAGCAUCCCUGUUGCGCUGUCUACACGGCGUUUGCUUCGCGACCCCAGGUCAGGCGGGACUACCCGCUGAGUUUAA